AUAAUGAUACUUCCGUCAAGUCACAGACACAACCAAUGAUGGCGGCUCUAUGCGAACCAUAGAGGGAUGAGAUUUCCAUGA
ncrna:unclassified sequences pemK RNA